GGCUGUCUGUACUCACCCUGAGAUUGGGCUGUCUGUCCCACACCCUGAGAUGGGCUGUCUGUAACUCACCCUGAAUGGGCUGUCUGUACUCACCCUGAGAUGGGCUGUCUGUCCCCACCCUGAGAUGGGCGUCUGUACUCACCCUGGAGAUGGGCUGUCUGUACUCAUCCUGAGAUGGGCUGUCUGUACUCAUCCUGAGAUGGGUGUCUGUCCCCACCCUGAGAUGGUCUGUCUGUCCCCACCCGAGAUGGUCUGUCUGUCCCCCACCCUGAGAUGGUCUGUCUUACUCACCCUGAGAUGGUCUGUCCCCACCCUGAGAUGGUCUGUCGUUCCCCCUGAGAUGGUCUGUCCCCACCCUGAGAUGGUCUGUCCCCACCCUGAGAUGGUCUGUCCCCACCCUGAGAUGGUCUGUCUGUACUCACCCUGAGAUGGUCUGUCCCCACCCUGAGAUGGUCUGUCCCCACUCUGAGAUGGUCUGUCUGUACUCACCCUGAAGAUGGUCUGUCGUCCCCACCCUGAGAUGGUCUGCCUGUAACCACCCUGAGAUGGCUC
rnacentral:lncRNA from 1 species